rnacentral:lncRNA from 1 species
UUCACCCCUUCCUAAAUCCUAAGGUGACUGGGAUUCAGGUAAUUACUAUAGUAUCACAUUUUAAGGUUAUCGAUAUUCUUUUAAAUAUUUUUUAUAUAUGUAAACAUAUAAAUAUAUUUAAGCUUAAUAUCAUUUUAUCCCUGAAUUAUAGUGAAAUUUUCACUUUGAUCCUUAUAUUAAUUUUGAUUAUUUUAUCUCAUUUAUUUUCAUUCCAUCAAAAUUGUUUCCAUUAAAAGAAAUCUGAUUUGAUGGUUUAAGCCUAUCAAAUUCAUAUUCGAGGACAACUAAUCUAAGUCUUUGACUCAAAUGCCCGAAUGUAAUUUUUAUUUUUCUCUUAAUAUUAAAAGAUUUCCCUUGUUUUUUUCUUUAUUUGUUUCUCUUUCUUCUUUCCUAGUAAAAGUUCAGCUUUUCCAGCCGAAACUGUAGGUGCACGAACACUAUCGCUAGCACUCACCAUCGUCGUCGUUCCUCCGACCAGUCCCAGUGAAUCAUCAGAGACCCAAGGGUUCCAAUCCAUUAUGCCCAACCAAUUGGUUUGUAUGGCUCUUCAUGAUUUCAUGAAAUCGUGUAAACUCGUCUUAAGAAAAUGGCUCUUCACCAGUUGUAACUUGUAACUAGUGCUUCUCAAAAUCAUUGGCUGGUAUGUAACCAAUGAAAGCCAUACAAAUGAAAUCGCAUAAUAAUUAUUUCAUAUAUUCUUUUGAUUUUUUUUUUCCAAAGUUCUGAUUUUACCCAAAAUUAUUCAAAGCAAAAAUCCGAAGUUUUGGCUUUACCCAAAAUCAUUCAAAGCAAAAAUUUAACCCAAAAUUUCCCCAUUUGUCUAAACCUUUCCCGUUUCUUGUUCUCAUGUUGUCAAUCUUUUGCUCUUUAACAUUAUGGAAACCAAAACUUUAAUAUUGCACAAAUAAUGAUUUUUAGAAUAUUUAUAAUAAUAUGAUUUUUAUUAGUUAAUAUUUGGCAAGGAAUUAGAGAUAGCUAUUAGUCGUGACAAAGAAGAAUACCUGAUAAAUUAAUUUCAUUCUCUUAUAUUUUUUUUAAUUACACAAACCUUAAGUGAUAAAGGCUAUAAUUUUUAUGAGUAUUUUUUUUUUGUGUGUAACCCUAAUAGGUAAUGAGAUGGAUUUAUAAUGAUAAACUUUUAAUUUGGUACAUCCAUAAAGUAACUGAAUGAAUGUAUAAGAUUUAAUUUCUAUUAAAGCAAAACUUUUAUUCCCUUUAAAUUGGGCCCCAAACUUAACUGGAUUCACAAAAUUGGGCUAAAAAUCUUACAUUCUCCCACUCAACUUGUAACAGUCCGUUUUCAGUAAAAUCGAAACAGUGGUUUAGGGAUCACAAAUCCGAGUCCGAAAAGAAAAUUAUUUUAAUUUUAUUUCAUGGUCUGCAUUGUGAUAGAAAUAUCGUAUGAAAAUCAGUGGUUUAGGGAUCACAAAUCCGAGUCCGAAAAGAAAAUUAUUUUAAUUUUAUUUCAUGGUCUGCAUUAUGAUAGAAAUAUCGUAUGAAAAUUUCGUUAGGAAUUUUUUACCGAUUACAUGUCUAAUUAGAAAGAAAGGACCAAAUUGCAUAAAAUGCAAAAGUUGGGUUCUAGUAGCUAUAAGUAUCAAAUAGUUAUGGAAUUCAAAAUUGAAGGUCCUUAUAUGAAAAAUAGGCCAUUAAGAGAAGUUAGUAGAUAAGUAUGAUGAUUCAUCCAUGGAAAAUUAAUUAAAGAAAAUGACUAUAUUGGAAAGUAAAAAUAAUAAAAGAUGAUAAGUAAUUAAAUAAUGAAAAUAUCAUAUUUUUCAUCAUCUUUCUCAAAUUUUUUUAUGGAAACCCUAGCUAAGAGAAAAGACCUCAAGCAAGCUUAUUUGGCUUAAUUGGGUAAGCAUUCUUGUCUCGUUUUUAAUGAUUUUUAUGUUUUCAAGAUUGUAAUAGCUUAAUUUAGCUAUCUCGGGGAUUAAUUUGCAAAGUUAUCAAAGUAAUAGGGUUUAGCCAAGGAUGAAUAUACAUGAAUUAUAGAAUUUAUGGUAGAAAAUGAAAGGUUGUUCAUAGAUAAACAACUUUUGUAAAAUGAAUUUUGAUGAAAUUGUGAUUUAGGGAUUAAAUUUAAAGAUGUAAAAUUCAUGGAAAAAUUCUAAAUUUUAUGAAUUACAUGUUAUAUGUAAAAAUGUUAUAAGUAAAAAUUGACUAGGCUUGAAAUAAUGAUUAAAUUGCAUGAAUUUCAUUUUUCGAGCCUAGGGACGAAUUCAUCAUUAAUUAAAAAGUAUAGGGGCAAAAUGGUAAUUUUUCCUAAGAUGUGAAUUGAAUUGAAUUGGAUAUGAAUUGUAUUAAAUUGAUGUUAAAUUCGUUCGUAUAGAUCCGGAUAACUCAAAUACGAAGUUAGAUCAUGGAAAAGAAAAAGUGACGGAUUAGUAGAUUUUGCGUACACGAACAUUGUCGAGGUAAGUUCGUGUAACUAAAUUGAGAACUCAUAUGUGUUAACUGAAUUAUAUGCAUGUGAUUGUAUUAUUUCUAUGUAUAUGAAAUUAAUCGCAUAUCCGACAAUGCCCGACAAACGUUAAGUCUCGAUUGAAUAAAUGAAAUUCGAUGGAUACAAGAUUCCCGAAUUGGUUGUGGUCCUGCAUAUGUUGCGGACACACCAUAGCUCAAAGAGUAUCCCGAUAUAUGGACCUCUCGAGCUUCCCGUUAUAUGGUUCUUGCGAGCUUUUUGUUAAUAGCUCUUUGUAGCAUCCCGAUUGGUUGUGAUUCUACAUGUGUUGUAGACACACCACAGCUCUUAUGAGCGUCCCUAUAUAUGGUUCUUCGUGAGCUUCCCGAUUAAAGGCUCUUUGUGAGCUUCUCGUUAAUGGCUCUCUGGAGCUUCUCGAUUAUGGCUCGCUUGAACUUCCCGAUAUAUGGCUAUCUGGAGCUUCCUGUUAAUGGCUUUUCAAAGCUACUCGUUAUUGGCUCGCAUGAGCUUCCCGAUUAUAGCUCUUAUGAGCUUCCCGUUAUACAGCCUGGAUAAGCUUCCCAUUACAUGGCUCACAUGAGCUUCCCGUUAUAUGGCUCGAGAGAGGGCUUCCCGAUUUUGUGCUCUAAGGAGCACUCCCGAAUAUGAAUUGACGGAUUACAGUUUGUACACUUCAAGUGUACUACCUGUGUAUCCAUCGAUAUUUCUAAUAAAUUCAAUGGGUAAAGUUCCGACAUGGAAUAAGUUGAACUUGAGAUGAAUUAUUAUGGAAAUGUACAUGUUAUAUGGAUAUAUGAUGUGGAAAGCUUAUCUAUAUGAAAAUUGUUACAUGAUGAGCUCAUCCUUGUUUCUUGAUGUUCACAUAAAAUACAAGACUAACAUGUUUCUUGAAGUUAUAUGUGUUUAGGCAAAUUGCCAAAUUUCUUUGGAUGAAUUUUACAUGCUUACUUUAAAUGUAAAUAAUUGGUAAGUUAAUUUCCCGCUAUACGAACUUACUAAGCAUAAUAUGCUUACUUUGUUUUAUUUCCUUCUGUUCUAUAGUAAUUCAGAGG